AGCUUUGCGCAGUGGCGAUAUCGUAACCAAUGAAGUUCUACUGAGGUGCGAUUAUUGCUAGUUGAAAACUUUUUACCAAUACCCCGCCAAGACGAUGUGAAAUACCAUCGGCUACGGCAAUUUUUGAAAGUUUCUACGGAAA